rnacentral:rRNA from 1 species
CACGUAGGGGGCGAGCGUUGUCCGGAUUUAUUGGGCGUAAAGAGCUCGUAGGCGGUUUCGUAAGUCGGAUGUGAAAACUCCAGCUCAACUUGGAGACGCCAUUCGAUACUGCGAUGACUUGAGUCCGGUAGGGGAGUGUGGAAUUCCUGGUGUAGCGGUGAAAUGCGCAGAUAUCAGGAGGAACACCGGUGGCGAAGGCGGGAUCCUGGGCCAGUACUGACGCUGAGGAGCGAAAGCGUGGGGAGCAAACAGG